GGAUUCCCCCAGUAACGGCGAGUGAAGCGGGAAGAGCUCAAGCUUAAAAUCUCCAUACUUGUAUGGCGAAUUGUAGUCUAUUGAGGCUGUUGUCAGCAUCGCGAUUGGGGACAAGUCCCUUGGAAAAGGGCAGCAUAGAGGGUGAUACUCCCGUCUCUGCUCCAAUCUGCGGUGUGUACGAUACGCUUUCUUUGAGUCGAGUUGUUUGGGAAUACAGCUCAAAGUAGGUGGUAAAUUCCAUCUAAAGCUAAAUAUUGGUGCGAGACCGAUAGCGAACAAGUACCGUGAGGGAAAGAUGAAAAGAACUUUGAAAAGAGAGUUAAAGAGUACCUGAAACUGUUGAAAGGGAACCGUAUCGUUUCCAGUGUUGUAUCCUAUGCAUAUUUCAUUCGCGGAGUAAUUUGCGGGUGCCCUGUGCAUGGGUGUGACGUCAGGGUCAGUUUGUAUGCUGCGGGAGAUGGUCAGUGAGGAGGUGCGUCACUUCGGUGAAAGUUAUAUCUCGCUGUCUAGUAGCCGUGGUUGAGACUGAGGUGCCUACAACAUGCCUUAAGGUUCCGUGUUGUCUCGUGUUGGUGACUGCUUUGAUAGCUUGCUAUGUCUGUGGUUUAUCAGUGCGAUUGAUGAUGCGGAUAACUUUUGCUGUUCGGGACUCUGGCGAAAUGGAGCGAUACGACCCGUCUUGAAACACGGACCAAGGAGUCUAACAUGUGUGCAAGUAUUAGGGCGUGGAAACCCAAAUGCGUAAUGAAAGUAAAUGCUGCUUAUGCAGCUGUGGUAGGAAAGGGCUGUCAAGGUCCUGGCACUAUCGACCGAUCAUGAGCCUACGGGCAAAAGAUUUGAGUAUGAGCAUAUAUGUUGGUACCCGAAAGAUGGUGAACUAUGCCUGAAUAGGGUGAAGCCAGG
rnacentral:rRNA from 1 species